rnacentral:rRNA from 1 species
UCCAACCCCUGUGACUUACUUUACGUUGCUUCGGCGGACACGCCCCGGCGCCCCCGUGCCCGGAACCAGGCGCCCGCCGGAGGACCACAAACCAUUGUUUUGCUAUAGCGGUAUCAUCUGAGUGGCACAAGCAAAUAAAUCAAAACUUUUAACAACGGAUCUCUUGGUUCUGGCAUCGAUGAAGAACGCAGCGAAAUGCGAUAAGUAAUGUGAAUUGCAGAAUUCAGUGAAUCAUCGAAUCUUUGAACGCACAUUGCGCCCGCCAGUAUUCUGGCGGGCAUGCCUGUUCGAGCGUCAUUUCAACCCUCGCAAAGCCCUUCGCGGCCGAGCGGUGUUGGGGACCGGCACAACCCUCCCAGGAGGGCGCCGCCCCCGAAAUACAGUGGCGGUCUCGCUGCAGCCUCCCUUGCGUAGUAGCACACCUCGCAUUGGAGCGCGGCUCGGCCACGCCGUAAAACCCCCGACUCUCCUGAGUUUGACCUCGGAUCAGGUAGGAAUACCCGCUGAACUUAAGCAUAUCAA